rnacentral:lncRNA from 1 species
AAACCAACAUUCUCUGCAGCAAAAUUCUGUAUAAACCGUUGAGUUACGUAGUAUCCGCUACAAAAUGAAGCAGUUCAUGUUUUUCUUGAGCAUUGUUAUCUUCAUUAUAUACUUGGCUAACAGAGAAGUAAUGGCCCAAAAUAAUGAGGGUGAAAUACAAGGAACUCCUCCUAAGAAAGUUGGGUUACCAGUAUUCUCUCUCCUGGGUAUAAUUCAACAAAUUCCUCCAUCGGAAGUUCUCAUACAAACAGCUCCUGUCAAUGUUAUUAUACCAGUUGCUAUUCUGGCUAAUAGCGGUAAAAGAUCAGAGAAUGAUAAGCGCUAAAUGCCACUUCUCAUUCCUAACCAAAGAAGAAGAAAACAACUCGCAGUUGCUUGAAUCUUGUGAUGGUUAAUAAAGAAUUGUUUGGCUGAAC